UACAGAGGGUGCAAGCGUUGUUCGGAAUUAUUGGGCGUAAAGCGCGUGUAGGCGGCUUUGCAAGUCGGGUGUGAAAGCCCUGGGCUCAACCCAGGAAGUGCAUUCGAAACUGCAGAGCUGGAGUCCUGGAGAGGAAGGCGGAAUUCUCGGUGUAGAGGUGAAAUUCGUAGAUAUCGAGAGGAACACCGGUGGCGAAGGCGGCCUUCUGGACAGUGACUGACGCUGAGACGCGAAAGCGUGGGGAGCAAACAGG
rnacentral:rRNA from 1 species